UCUCUGUGAUGAUGAACAAUGAUGACGAGUCCGAUUCUAAUCCAUUCACCCGUGACGACAAAACGAGGCAUUUGUCUGAGAGAA